AAUGCGAAGCGCUGGAGUCAUAGAAGUAAGAUAAGCUGCAUUUCUCGUUUUUUGAUAAUAUCAUCCAUUUUUAAAAUAUGUUAAGAGCUAAAAGUUCGUGUCUCUGUUACAUGUUUAAACACAGGACAUAAAACAACAGCUUGCUAACUGUCGAGGGCAGGAGUUAGUUAAUGCAGAUGAGCCUAGCUAAACGCAGUAUGCUACUCGGUUGCGCUUAUAGAACUUUUCUUAAGAGAAACAAGCAGCUACCACGAUUUUUGUAUUGUACACUUCCUCAGAAACACAUAUGUGGUGCUUGGUCAAAGUUUUGCAUGGACGUGCUGACUGCAGAUGAGUUAGCAGCUCCGCAGAAAGGCUGUGCGUCAGUAAUUAGUCGUGUUUCUUGUCAGUAAUUAGCCGUGUCCUUUGUUUCAUGUGUUCGUGCGCACAUGCGUCCCGUUUCUGGUUGCCGGUGACAAAUGCAAUUUCACUGUUAAAGAAAUUACAUAUAUAUACUUACAUAUAUAUGGGUAUAUAGUUACUCAUACAUUUACGCUCUUGGUUUAAAAAUGGCUGGUCAGCCUUUAUCUGUUAUUCAUAGCCAAUAUGAUACAAACUGGUUUAAUAAGAGGCACUGUCACAGAUCUUUGAAUUUCAAAGAUUUGCCUUGUCCCACACUGCUGUUACUGAUUAUCUUAAAUGUUAAAAUACUUUUUUUGUUUUGUUUUUCAUAGAUUUAUUUUAUUAAGUUCAUUGUUAUAUUGAGUAACAAGUUGCUAAGUUAAUUGAUUAGAUAAAGUAAAUAUUUUAUUUCUUUUACUGUCAAAGUGCAGCACCCAUUUAGUUGGUGAUGAUUCCUUUAAAUUAUUUUAAAACCUUGUGUUAUCAUUAACCCAAUAUUUUGUCUCGUCUCUCCUGGAGACAAACAUGGAGGUGAAGCGCAAGAUAAUGUAGGCUGAAAUGCAGAAGAAAGACCCAAAUCAUCAGCUGCUUGAGGAUUUGAUAGUUGCUACAUUUGCUUAGUGUAAGAAAGACAUGGUAGGAGACCAACCACACAUCACAGAGCUCAUCUCCCGAUGACCUGCUCUGUUCCAUGAGAGACAGAUUAGGGCAGAAUUUACAAUAAUGGUCACCGCAGACCUUCUGGAAUCUUUUGUUGACAAACUUGAUGGCCUGGUUCUGAGACUGCUGGAGGUCUACAAAGCAGCAACCAAAUCUGGAAAGAAGUAGCCACUCAAAGACAUUUUGGACUACCUUGCAAAAGAUGACACAAAUGAAAGGAGAAGGGCUGCUGCUCUGCUAGGUUUGCCACGCUACAUAUCUGGGGAAGAUCCAUCAACUGUCAUCAGGAUGUGUGAUGUAAGACUAAGACAUGUUAUUACAAAGACUGUUUACAUAAUUACCUAUUCCUCUUUCUUGAUAUCAUUUCUUAAAAAUCUUUUUGUAGCAUUUGUGUUUGCAAAAACUUAUUUUUAGUCCUUGUUAAGAGACAUUACUUCCUGUUUACUACAGCUAUGCAUAACGUCAAAAUUUGAUGUAAUUACUUUGUGUAUCCUGAUUGAUUUUGUUCAAAGCCAUUUGAUGGAAACAUGCCUUGUUUGCAUUUUCUAAAUGUUAAUGGUUAUGCACUAAAACAUUUAGCAUUGUGCUGAAUUUGUGAAAAAACCUCUCAGAGUUUUUGUGAGUUUGUUAAAACACUGAUCAUUUUGCACAUAAUUUAAUACAUAUAUGUGUGUGUGUGUGUCCCCUUCCCCAAGUCUUUUUAAUUGUUAUUUUUAUACAUAUCUGUCUUGUGUUAGGCCUCAUUUUGCAAAUAAGGUGUGCUGUCUUUCUUGGGUCAGCUCUUCCACUAUUGGUCAGCAGACAAGAAGGAGCAGAAUCCAUGUGCAGAUCUGUCCUGCAACCUUUAGAUGUGCCUCUGCUGCACCACACCUGACUAGAAUAAUUAGGUCAU